AGGAGAGUAAGAGUUUCAGCCUUCAUUGACACAGGACAGAGGGUCUGUGCCCUGCAUCCCCCAACACUCAGAGGUGAAAACACCUCCACCCUGCCUCUUCCUGCCAUGGGCUCCCUGCUCCUCUUCUGUGUGGCCUUUUGUCUCCUGGGAACAGGGUCUAUGGAUGCUGAUGUUACCCAGUCCCCAAGGAAUAAGAUCACCAAGACAGGAAACAGUAUUAUUCUGCAAUGUUCUCAGAAUAUGGAUCAUUACUACAUGUUCUGGUACCGACAAGACCCAGGACUGGGUCUACAGCUGAUCUACUACUCUGUCGAUGUGAACGACAUUAACAAAGGGGACAUCCCUGAUGGGUACAGUGUCUCCAGAACUGAGAAAGCCAACUUCUCCCUCUCUGUGAAGACUGCCAGCCCCAAACAGACAGCUGUUUACUUCUGUGCCAGCAGUUACUCACACAGCAGUUCUUGGCCACCUGCUCUCUACACAGAAAGACAGGCACAUGGGCGAGUCACUUGCUCAGAAGAUGCAUCAGCCACAUGA